AUCAUGAGCUGCAGCUCCAGCGAGGACUGCCUCAUGGUCCACUGAUCCAGAUUCUGUAGGAUGCGCUUAAUCCUCUGCCGCUGAGGAUUUUCUCCUUCCUCAUUGUCCAGCAGUCGGUGUGGAUAACAGAUGAGCUGCAUCAGCCUCUGGGCCUGUGUGCUGCUCAAGACAGGAUCCUGCAAGUCAUUACUGUCUUCACAGAGAGACUUCAGACAUCGCUCACCUACCCACUCCUGUUGGCAGAUGCUCCUCAGUACAUACUUGGCAUAAAUAUCCAGGCUAGCUGUUUCC
rnacentral:lncRNA from 1 species